rnacentral:rRNA from 1 species
UACGUAGGGUGCGAGCGUUAAUCGGAAUUACUGGGCGUAAAGCGUGCGCAGGCGGUUUUGUAAGCCAGAUGUUAAAUCCCCGGGCUUAACCUGGGAAUGGCAUUUGGGACUGCAAGGCUGGAGUGCGGCAGAGGAGACUGGAAUUCCUGGUGUAGCAGUGAAAUGCGUAGAUAUCAGGAGGAAUACCGAUGGCGAAGGCAGGUCUCUGGGCUGACACUGACGCUCAUGCACGAAAGCGUGGGGAGCAAACAGG